rnacentral:lncRNA from 1 species
UUAAAUUUCAUUUUGAACCUUUUACUGCAAAAAGAAGGGAUUAAAAAUGAUACGUGAUUGAGCCUAAAAGCCUAAUAAGAAUCUGGGGGCUCUUCAUGGUGGAAAUUGUUAGUCAUGCAAACACAUUAGGCCUAAGGGCUACCUUGAUAUUGUUUCUUAGUUUUUCAUACUGAAUUAGAUCGUGGUAGAUGGUAGUUUCUGGUGUGUGCACAACAAAAGAUAUGCUGUUCAGAAUAUACAUUUAUCAAAACUACAGCAUAUCUGAAACUGAAAGUAUAUACAUUUUUCAUACUGAAUUAGAUAGUGGUAGAUGGUAAUUUCUGGUAUCUGCACAACGUAGGGUAUGCGCACAAUAAAAUUCUAUACUUUCACAUUUGUGCAGUGUAAUAUGUAUCCUCUAGCCUCUUUUUCAUUCACUUGAAAUCAUUAUGAUACCAACAAUAGCCUGGAAACAUUACAUAUCCAUCUCAGAGCAGCGUCAAAAAAAUUGACAGUACAACGCCCGCGUCACUCGCCCUAGGGCGACACGGGCGGCGACACCGCGCGCGCCGCCACAAACUUCUCCUCCUCCCCUCCGCCUCGCCGCCGCCCGAGCAGCCGCCGGCAAAGCCGUGCGGCGGCAAGGAUGGCGGCGGCGGGGCCUUCUCCCUCUCUCGAGAAGCGCGGCUGGGGCACCGGCGGGACCCGAGCGAAGCGGACGGCGGCGACAGUGUCCGGCGCCAUCUGGGCCAAAUGCGGCGGAUCCGGCUCCGCCGGAGGUGGAUCUGGCCCUGUCGCGGCCAGAUCGGGAGGGGCAUGCCGCUCCUGGCAGGAGGCGGCGUGGGAGGCGGCGACCGCGACCGUUGGUGGGGGGGACGACGGAUCCGGCCACUCUGGCGGCAGAUCCAGUCCCCCCGGAUGGCUGCGGCCGGCAGGCGGAGGUGGCCGACGCCGAGGAGGUUUGCGGCGGAAGGCAGUGGCGACGGCGACCGACGGAGAAGCGAGGGCGGCGACGGCGACCGACGGAGUCGAGAGGGCGGCAACAGCAGCCGACGGAGACGCGUAGGCGGCGGCAGCGGCUGGUCGGCGGGACCGGCGACGGCGUGCAUGGCGCGACGCGCGCGAGAUCCGGUGAUGCUGGAGGCGGGGUGGGAGAUGGUGGCAGGGCACGGUGGCGGUGCUGGCGGCGGGGUGGGGGCUGGUGGCGGGGCUGAGUGGUGGCGGCGGUGGAGCUUGGUGGUGAUGGCGGCGGCGGAGCCCAAGCUGCGGUGGGCAGCCAACGCCGCGCGACAGCUGGGCGUCUGGCUUCCCCCGGGCAAGAUCCGAUCCCCUCCACCGGAUUUGGGGCGAGAGCAUCGUGCUUCGGUGGACGUUCUAGUGCCGCGUCAUUUUGGACGGCGGGUGCACUGUGGCGGAGGGGUCAACAGCACGGUGCGGAGGGUGGCAUGGCGCCGGUGUAACGGUCUGGUGGUCCGAGGUGACAUGGACAACGGAUUCGUGGCGGAGCCGGCGGUUACUCUGUCAGGGGGAGCCGCGGUCCUCUCGACGUGCACCUUCCUAGACAUAUGUCCUCUUGCGACGGCGACUUUGUCGGCAAAAGUUGGCCACGUCGUGCGGGCUAGUGUGGGGGAGAGGGCAUCCAUUCUUCUCUCUCACCCUCUCCCCAUCCAACCCAACUGCGUGGAUGGAGCCGGUGUGUGUCGAGGUUCGAGCUUCCCCAUGGCGAUUGACUGGCGGCGUGGUGCCGGUGCGGUGGCCAUGCGUCGAAGGUUUUCGCUGGUGGUGGCUGCGGAGCGUGUAGGAGUUCAGUUCUUGGGAGAGACAAAUUUUGGGCGAAAGCUCUGCCUUCGAGCCGGCAACAACGACGCCUGUGGGUGCCGUUUUUUCCUCUUGGGGUGUUGCCGCUUUUCUUGUCUCUCCCAAUUACUUUCUUCAGGUGAAAACCUUGUCCUGGCCCUCCGGGACAGGCGACAGCGGCACUUUUGGUGUCGUACCCUUCUUGAAGGUGUCGUCUCGAAGACCUUCAGUUUUGCUCAUGCAGUGGGUUUUGUUGUAGACGCGCGGUGUGGUUGUAUUUUCUUUUUUUGUCUGUGGUCUUCUAGGACUAUAGAUUGUAUUUUUCUCCUGCUUUAUCAAUACAUGAAACUCGCACUGUCUUGUGUGGCUCGUUUCAAAAACAAUAGCCUGGAAUUUAAAUAAAUCAAGAGAAGUUUCAGUUUUGAGAAAAUCGUCUUGUUAACUUCUUCCUAAAGAGAGAAAGGAAGUGUCCUGUUAGACUCAAUUAUUUCCCCCAAAAAAAUUAUUGCUUAUUACUGUAUCUGAGUUGUUAAAAAGGUUUGGUGAGGUCUCCAGUGCCUUCUACUGUUCUACAAGUUACUGGAAGGUUGUUCAUGAUCUGGGGCAUCUUGUGGAGCUUCCCUGAGGUAAUAUCAGGACCUUACUCCAAGUUAUAAGAAGGUUUAUAUCUUAAAAACAAGUUCUGGAUUAGAAAGCACUUCUUAGAAUGACAAAACAUUGAUGUUAGGUAAUGUUGCAGCUAUAAGAGCAUAUCCCAUACUUUCAUUUAUGGUCAUAAUGGCUCUAGUAGGCAUUGGAUAAACCGAAGCUGCUGAA